GCCCAGCCUGCAGCUGCAAAAAUCGCUGGCGGUGUUUGUAAUGGGAAAGGUUCCGGAUGCUCCUGAACACAGAAGUUGCAGAUAAACAAAGUUAAGUUGGCAGAAUAUAAUAUACCUGGUGUUUUCCGGAAAUGUGGUAACACUGCCCAAGAUCAUCAGUCGAGCCCCAAGUAUGCAAUUUUCCACUCUCUGUUGUGUUAGGAUCCAUCAAAGGAAGAAACAACAAAAGCCACAACACAAAGUUAGAAUUUUAUUGUUUUUUACUGAAGAAGAUAAGCUCUGGCAUCUGCAAAACUGCCACCGAGAAAAACGAAGAGCAUCAAUACAAAAGGAAAAGGAUGUCAGCUAAAGGAGGCAUUUGGAAAAUGCAAUAAACAGGCAGGCAAUGGGCUAAAACUGGAUGGUUACAGUGUUUUUUUUCUCUUUUUUUGUUGGUCUUCAAAGCAGCAACUUCACCGAGUCUGCAACUUAAAAACAAGGCACAGAACAAACAGAAAAACUGUGAGAUCGAUCGAGCGGAUAAGCUCGAGAAAACAACGAGACCCACGGCAAAAAAGAAAGAGAGGCUUGUAACACAAAGGGAAAGAACUCACUCAC
rnacentral:lncRNA from 1 species